UCCGAUCCCUCUAGCUCGUUUCUUUGUUCCUUUCUUUCUCUCUCCCGGUCUCUCCCUUCGAGGGGGAGAUGCUGCGUUCAUCCGGCGAGCCUAGAUGGCCAUGGACCCACCCAUGGUUUAGAGCAACCAUCAUAUAGUUAUCAUAUACGGGUUAAAUACUGAGAUGAGAAAUUGAGAAAAUAAGAGAAAGGAGAAGUGGGAUAUAAGCUUAUAACCAGCUGGGGCACCAAAACAAAAAAACUCCGUGAGAGACAAAUAAGUCUUCAUUAAUAAUAAAUAGCUAACUACUAUAGUUAGAUUAAGAGAUAAGAAGUCUUAUAGCUAAAUUAUUGACUAUAUUAUUACCCUUACUGUUAGAAAGAUAAAAUAGAAUAUAUCUAUAUCUCUAUAUAAAAUAUUAACCUUAAUUUAACUUUAUACAUAGUUAUUAAUUUAUAUUUGAAUACUUUUGAUAUCAAAAAGUUUAAGGGAUAGCAUAAUUUACUGUAGAUAUCGGUGAGAUGAUGGAUACACCAUCGACCACUAUUUCUUUUUAAAUAAGUAUACAUGGACGCAAAUAUAUACUCAUGCACGUAUCGUCUCAACAUGUUUAACAACAUAUCAUUAAAUUUUGGUUUUCUUUUAACAUAAUAGGUAACAUCUACUACUUUUGUGUUACAGGCCAUAGCCAAAAUUAAAGUUUAAAAGUUACACUUAAAUUUGAUUUUGGAUUUCCUUUUAUAGACGGUCUACAAAACGGGAUCCUGUCAUGGGGACAAGACAACUUAAGCAGGUCAAGUAUGCCAAGGAAUAUCGUCGGACCGGAGAAGUUAUGCAAGUAUGUUCCGCACGCCUCCACCUCCGUGUCCACACACCUCCGCC
rnacentral:lncRNA from 1 species